AAACCUUCUCAUUGCUACACUUUGACUAACAUGUUGCUGUGAAUGGGACCUGGAAAUGUGAUGACCUCCUUACCUGGCUUCCUGCAGCCUGAAAAAGAAUGAGCAUCUGAGUGGAGAAGGACCAGACUGUCUAACUGGAAAGGGCUGGAAUCCACUGCGGCUGAAAGCAAAGCACAGCACAGUCAAAAAGAGAAGAGGCAGAGGGAGGGCAGUGUCUGGAUAAAGAAUGUGCUGGACAAGGUGCUGCAGUGCUGACAUUUCCCGCGGAGAAGAAGAGACUCAGGCAUGCUGAAAACAGAACCAUCUUGAGAAAGUGAUCAGGCAGCUGCCUCACCCUCUGCCAGCCCUAAAGAUAUGACUUCUCCUCCAUCACCCUUUGUGGUAGCAGACAGAGAGAAAGAGAAUACUUCGCAACACAUCACAGUCAAAGUGAAAAUAUGUACGUAGACACAAAUUUCCAGUCUAUGACCAGGCAGAAUCUCACAUUGAGUUUUACUUUUAGAUUUACAUUGUGAUCUGGAGACUUGAGUAUAUAACAUUCCAGUGUAGAAGGAGAUUUCACAGCCUUUUGUCCAUAGGUUUCAAUGUGUUCAUUAGCGGAAGAAACCUUAUGGUCAGUGUUCAGGUGUCAGAAGCUCCUGCCAAAAAUAAAACUAGGAAAAAAAUUAUCACAGGCCCCAGAUCUGUAUAUAGCACUCACCCAUUCUGUUCUACAACUUGAAAGAUGUGACUGAAGCGGGACACUGCUGAUUUCUUACAUUCAGCUAGGAAUGUCUAUACAUCUUCUCUAGGCUAAAUCUUACUAUAAACAGGUCACCCAAUGGCAAACAUCGAAUUCCAGUACAAUAGAGAGUAAAUUGUGAGGUCCCAUUUUUCCUUUUAUCACAGUGCAUCAGUGUAGUUUUGUGUAAUUUGUCAUUUUUACAUGGUCAUUAAAUACCUUUGGCAGUCUCAUUAGCUUCCACUUUUAACUAAGUUUCCCAGCCAGUCCAAACAAUUUCACAUGUCUUGGGGAGAUUUGUUAAAUCACUAGGUCAUCCGCCUCACAGGCAGUAGGUUAGGAAGUACUAAUUUAUAGAUUCACUCCAGUCAUAAAGGAACCUCCAAAAGUUGGGUAACAUUGUACCUUGUACUGAAAAAUUGUGACUUCUGAGUUCUGUCAUGUAACUUUUCCUGGAGAUUGGCUGCUGUGGCAUUUAUUUCUUAAUGACUGUAUCUUUGGAGAGCAUUAAUUCAAGCCAGUAAGCAUUAAUAGAUUCCAAUAUAACAUUGGUUGUACUUGUAUGAUGGACAUGUCCUCUGAUGUAUGCCUUGCAAGAUUUUAUUGUUUAUACAGUGGCAUGGUAAGGGGAGGGCGCAGGUAGAAAGAGAUUCAGGGGGAUAACAAGAUGCACUGCAGAGUGAAAUUGGGUGUAGAUAAGUACAUUACUACUGCCACUAGAUGAAGAUUAAAAACAUGACUCCAAGUAACAUACUUAUCUCCCUCUCAGCAUGGAGCUCACAGGAUAAAGCAAACAACCCCUCCCAGUGAGCCCUGGGAGACAGGAGAGGGCUCAGUGCUGCUCAGCUUCUGCUCCGUUAGGAAACCUCCUCCUGGGGGUCAAUGGCCUGGAGAGCAGAGUCACGUCCCACACAGACAGCAGGAUCUCCUGUGCCUGGGGACAGGUCACUUCGGCUGCUCCUCUUCAGGUGAUCGAGGUCCCUGAUGCCACAACCAGGAACUGGGAGGUGCUCAGGGCCUGGGAGAGACCAGGAAUGUCUGCAUGUAUGUGCUGCCUUAUGACAGGUCAUGGGCCUGCGUGAACUAAGCCUGGCUGCAGCUAGGAGAGCAGAGGUGAAGUGCACGUGUGCCUGUCCCACCCAUUGCAUGAACAGGGAAAGGGUUGGCAUGCAGUGCAAGGAACAUCCCACCAAGGACAGGUCACGGUUGGGUGCGUGAGGGCAAGAAGAAUCAGUGGGGAAACUGAGAUGGGGUAAUGCAGGAUAGGGUAUGUAAAAGAGGAAGAAAAAAUGAGUUAUGAGCCUCUGUGGAGUGACAGAUCAUGGAGAGAAAAGAUGCAGUAAUGUGGGUGUGUUGUAUAUGUGAAGAUGAUGCAGCAAAAGUUUUGCUGGAAUGGAAAGGACUUGAGCUGAUGUCAGCUGUCACACCUACAGGAAUCCCAGAGGCAAACUCAUUAGAGCAUGAUUCAAUUCAGAAUGGAGUGGAAUGUUCUUUAGUCACUGAUUAACACUCUCUAACAUUUUUUUUUCAGUCUCAAAGAGCAAAAAUUACAACAUGAGCUGUUUCCUUUGGAGAUGAAGAUUGAGAAUUGUGAUGAAAUAGUGUCCCAUUUCAUGCUGAUUUGUAAGACUGCUGCAGUCCCACAUUUCUUACACACACACCAUUUUGGAGUGAAGUGCAUUCUGUGUUUAUGACACGUGGGAGUGCAGUGCAGUCUGUGCAGUCCCACCUGGUGAGAAGUUGUCCUGGCACCUAACUUAAUUGCAACAAAGUCAAAAGGCAGGUCUGGGAAAUGAGAAAUUCUUGCUGAAACUCUCUCUGUCUUUCUGUGAAAUGUCAUUUCAGUGUUUCUUUGUGACUCCCUCACUGAGAGGCUGGGCCUCAAGAGGUUUCUGCAGAGCAAACGCAGCCAAAAGUGCUUUCCUACCAGGCAAUAACUACAUUCAUUGUCCUAUAGGUAUAUAGACAGAAUCAUAUUCAGAGAGUGUUUGUGGAAGGCUAUCGUCCACUUUGAGUGGUUGGAAAUGUCAAGCACAAGUCAGUAAGAAACAUCUCAUCACACGAUUUUCAACAAAAGCAGCUACUACUAUUAAAAUAUCAUGACAGAAAAUCCUGUUGAAGAUACAAGUGGCUGCCUUCUGCACUGGGCUACUCAGGCACAACUCUAGGGCUGCAGGUUAACUUCAAAUUUGAUCUUGGGACAUCUGUAUCAAAGAAGGCCUCCCCUGCAGAUGUUCAUUGCAUGUGACAGCUGUCGCUAGGGACAACAGAUCUGGCUGGCUGGGUAGUAAGGCAUCAGUUCCAGCAAAAGGAUGAGCAAAGCUGAGGUAGAGCAAAACGAAAGAAAAAAGGCAUUUCACCUGCCUAGCAAUCUGCUCCCAAGAAGUAACCUCCUCUCUUCCCACUUCAAAUAUUUGACUUAAGUCUGGUUCCUACUGACACAUGACAGAAAUCCUGCAUCCCUUCAUUUUCCACAGUGAACUUGAAUGGCAGAUCUAGGGAAAAAACACCAGAACAGCUCUGACCUCUGAAGAGCAUGGGGACUGUUGAUUGGCAGCUCACAAUUAAUUCCCUCCCCACUUCUCCUCUGGAGACCCAUGUUAGAGGAGCUGUGUCCAGACUGUCUGUGUGUCACUGGACACCUGUACCUCGUGUUCAUACCAUUUGGACGUGCCCAUUGCAGGAAACAGCUAGGUUUCCAUAGCAGAAGUACACAGUAAAUAUAAGGUCUGUGUCUAAUACUUAAAUUCCUUUGCUAACAGUCCCUGAAACAUAUUAAUGUUCUAAUAUAUGCUUAUGGAAAACAACAUUGAAAGGUUUGUCACUAAAAAAAUUGUAACAGCUAAUCUUUAGUCACGCCUUUCAAGUUAGGAUGUUGCUUCUUUCCAGAGACUAACUGCAGUUCUUCACUAGACAUGGCAGCAUGAACCUAUGUCACUUUGUAUCUUGUCCUUUCUACUAAAACAGUACAAACAUAUGACUUUUAAAAUUUGCUGAGGGCUCAGAGUGACUCUGACAGAAUCUCCGCUAACCUCAGAGUAGAUAGUACCGAAAGCAUAUAAAUACAAUUCUCUCUGCCCUGUGUAUCUUUCUGGGACAAGCCCUUUUCUCCAGUAUAGGUUUCAGAUGUGGGAUUUUUAGUUGUCUGGGUUCAGCAAACUCUGCAAACCUUUCCAGUCUAUUGGACAUCCUUCUAGCUGAUACUUUUGAGACCUGACUGUGUGCCUGCUUCCUGCUAUUCUGAGCAGCCUGCUGCAGGCUCCUACAUUAAGAUCUCUUCAUGCACCCCUGUUCUCCCCUUCGCUCUGCAAGUUACCUCUCAUCUUCCUGUCCUGUUUAACUGCUAUCAGCUAAGGUCCAGUCUUCCCUUCAGAAGACUUCGCCUGACCCACAUUGAAGCAGCCAGGACAAGGCUUUCCCAUCUCCUUCCCAGUCACAACCUUUUAACAAAUACCACUCCAUUGAUUGCAGUGGAGGGCAGCAAUAUAUCAGCUUUUCGAGGGACAUCCUGAUAUUUCAUCAGUUCCAAUUUUUUGACAAUACAUUACAGACACAUACAGCCUGUAGCCUCCAGAAAUUAAACACAAAAAUGGGCAUUACAAUUAGACUUUGUAAGUAAAACCUUUAGGCUGUUCAGUCUCUAUGAGGUCUUUCAAAGACAUUUAACUGAAAUAUCAUCUGUUGUGCUUUCAUCAUAUUUUAUGAUUAUUUUUAGACCCGAGUGGCCAGCACGCAUUGCAGUUCUGUUGGUCAGGAACUUACCACUUGAGAAGGUUAUUUGAUUUCCACUGAAGGAAACAAGAGGCCUAGGAUUCAGUGUAAGACAUUUACCACAGAACAUUUUGAAUAAAUAUCGAGACAAAAGUGUACUGUACUGUCCUGUUCUACACAGAAGGAUGAUCAGCUUCCAUAAUGACCAGAGAUCCUGGAGUUGCAUUUUACACAUCCCUGUUGCUUUACUCUGGAUCACGCUUCCUCUAAAUAUGGAUAGUCCAGGAGUUUUCCACAGAUCAACUAAUGUUUCGUUCUUUUCUGUGGAGUGGGUAAAACAUAGGGUUUGGUCACUGGUUCUUGACAAAAUACUGGUCAUCUGUUCAGAUAAUCAAGUGAUUUCCAGGUGAUGUGUGAAUAGAGUGAGAUUAGUUGUAUAAGAUGUUUUCCUGAGAAACCCAUAUUUCAUAGCACAAAAUACCCUUUCUCCAAAGUUGCUAUGCAAUUCCUUUGCAUCCCAAGCACUUUCAGAUCUAAAGCCUGUCUAUGCAAGUAAAGCUAAAACUCUUAAGAGUUAAACAUUUUAAAUAAUUCUCUCCAUUCUGAUUAUAGAAGUAGCUUAGUUUCAGUAGAUUCAACCCAGAGAAACAACACACCACCACCUAAUCCAAAUGCUACAGCUGGAAUACAUACACAUUUCUUCUUGUCAUGAAAAGAGGUUAUUUAACACAUGGAUUUAGGAAGUGGACAGAAUUACUAGAACAAUUUUUUGAGGGAACGAGAGUGCUAGGAUGUGACAAGUCUUUAACUAAAGGAAUCAAAUUAUCAACACACAACAAAACAGGUUGUCCUAUAAUGCUGAAUGGCUCACAAAACACAAAAAUAAGCACCCAAGAUUCUGGUUAAAAAUGAAAGAUGUUCAGUAUUUUUUACUGUUUAGUCUUAGUUUUUACACUAAUCUUGAAAAAAAUUCUUGCUGGGAUUUGCAGCUUGCAAAGGCUGUUCUCAGCUAUGCUGUUAAUAUUUAUAAAACAUGCCAAGAGGUAACUUGGUGCCUGUGGAUCCUUAAUGAAAAGGCUGACACGGAAUGUGUAGCCUUCUACUGAAGAUCCCUGGGUAAAAUAAGACCUCUCAGGAAUGCUGGCAUGAGACAAGCAGAAAUGCCGGAACACUGAUUCUCUGGUGCAAAGCUCCUCAUUCUGACACUUCUGCUAAGAUGUGGCUGGAUGCUGGAUCAUGGAGAUGCAAAUGUCAGAGAAAGAUAUGUGAGUAGUAGCCCACGGCCAAGGAGGUGACAUUCAGGAUGCCCUUUCCAUCACAUGCCGAAGCAGCUGGACAGCUUCAGUUACAGAACAGAGUGCACUGACAGAGGUUCUGCUCGCCAGCACUCGCUAGCAGAACUGGAGCCAGGCUGGUCUUCCUUCUGAGAGCUGGUGUCCUCUUGAGGUUGCACCUGGGAGCCAGGGCCUGGAGUCCACUGGGACUAGAAUCAAACCACAGCACAGUCAGAAGAGGCAAAAUGAGCUAAAUCCCUGGAUACAGAUGGUCCUGCACAGACAUCUGUGCUGGAAUGAUGACAUCCAGACAUCCUGAAAAUGGACUCCAUCCCACUUUCUCUAACAUCAGCAGAAGAGAUCUGGGUAGUAGAUUCUGGCCAAGGAAAUGACACUCAGGAUGCCCUUUCUAUCACCCACCAAAGCAGCUGAAGAGCUCCUGUUACAGAGCAGUUUCCUUAAUUGCUCUGAGAUGCUGAGGGAAGCAUAUAAGAGCCUGAUCCUCUUGGAGAACAAAUCAGCUGUGUAAAGGAGAACAGCUCCAGCAGAAGACAAUGACAGUGAUGUGUCACCAGAGAGCCAGCAGCCAGGGUGUCAGCAUGCUGGUGGCCUGUGUGGGAGAUGAGCAUCUGGGGGUUCUAAUACUGCUUGCAUCCCUUGUCCUGAGGAGAUCCCCUGCUCACCCUGCAGAGGUCUACUAGGGACAGACCUUCUGCUCCAUGUGGCUUGUCACAAAGUACUGGGAAAGUUAGAAACAUAAAAUCUUUUAAAAUAGAAAAGACCUUCAAGAUCAUCAGGUUCAACUGUUUACCUAACAAUACCAAGUCCACCGCUACACAGGUUCCUAAGAACAUCAUCUACCCAUCUUUUAAACACCUCCAGGGAUGGUGACUCAACCACUGCCCUGGGCAGCCUGUUACAAUGCUUGACAACCCUUUCCAGGAAGAAAUGUGUUGAAACCUGGAAUUCAAGACAACUAAAGCAUGUAGAAACUGAAGAUAAGACCUCUUUCUGUAGACCCUUUUCCCGGGUGUAUGGCCGAUUCAUUGGUAAAUUCAUCGAGAAUUCAGCUGUUAAAUUUAGUUUUAUUUCCUCAGACUCUUUGUCAAGACGUUACUUCCUUUAAUACAGAAUACUUUCAAAACAUUCUAUAACUGGAAUAGUUAGCUCAGGAUAUACAGAUGUCCCUCUAGCUCAGGAGUUCACAGGUCUGAGAUCCUCUGCAGUGGGGGAGAAGUUUUGUUGGAACAUAUGCACUGUAUCUAUUUUAAACUUUCUCUCCAAGAUGGACCUUUAUGGCCACAUUGGAGCAGUGUUUCCCCCAUGAUUAGUUAGUACUUGUCAGCUGACAAGCAGCCCACCUCCACAGUUUGUCAGCACAAAAGGCUAUCAUUCUGCAGCUAUGGCAAUAAAUAUCCAAGAAGAAGGAAUCUUUGGUUUCCCUCCCCUUGCUGUGCUAUUUGUGCCCUAGUAAUUUUUCAUAAUUUAUGGUCUUCUCAAGUGAAUAGUACUGCUAGUUCAGCAUGAAAGAAAACCUGAGAACGUAACUUUUUUCUGCAUGUUCUAUCUACAUGUGGUGUAUCUUGUUUCAGCUAACACAUUGCUAUAGUUCUUAUAUUUUACAAGUUAAAGAAUUCUGAAAAAAACAGUCUCAAAAUAGGUCCAUAAAAAUAACAUGAAUUAAAGGGUGUUUACAGUGUUUCUUAAGUUAAUAGCAAAUUACUUAUCAGUUUUGAAAAAUCAGUAUUUUUACAUACUUUCUAAUGUAUUCCCCAAACUAACUUUGUUGUUCAAGGAAGCAAGUAAACAGAACCCCAAAAUGAGAAAUCUUUCCAAUGGGGGAAAAAAAGGAAGCUUUUAAUAGAUAAAAAUAAUAUUUCACAUAUUAACACUUCUACACAAUUCUGCUAGGUAUUAUGGGGCAGAGUGGGAUAUAUACACCCUCUCAGAAACUGUAGCACCUUUUCCAGGUAGGAUCAGUAGCUGACUAUGAAAUGUAAACAUAAAAAUAGACAUGAUGAUCAUCGCAGCUUCAGUUGUAAGAAAGCUAUAGAUACGCUUGCUAAUUUUCUAUAUAAAAGUGCAUAUGACACCAGCCAUACCUGGACAAUCCCUGACAGAUGCUUGUUGAAAACAGAUCCUUAAAAGCAGAGGCUAAACGAUGCAAUAUGAUAGAUACUCUAUUGGACCAUACAGUUUUUCUCAUGCAAAUAUUUCCUUAAUAUUUACUCCAAAUCCUUUUUACUUCAAACGAAACAGUUAUGAUACUGGCCAUAUAAACCUAAAUGUCUCUCAAUGCAAACCUUUAUGAUUUGACAAAAUUAUUUUUAGACUCCCACACCCAGUCAUUACUUUUCUUGUCUUUAGACUUAAAAAAAUGAAGCUGCUUCCAUACCUUUUCCUAAGUCAUAUUCUUUAUACUAAAAAUUCCAGUUCCUCUCAUUGUUCUACAGAAACAUUAUUCUUGCCUCAGAAGAGGUCUACAAAAUGUGCUCUACUCAAAUUACUGUAGAAUAUCACUAAGAUAACCUAAUUCUGAGAAAGCAAACAUACACAUCGUGUACCAUAGAAAGAGUACUUACACUAAAAUUUGUGAUAAUUACAUAUACCAUCUUUAGAACAGUUUCACAUUUUGGAGCAUGUAUAAGCUUGUACCCCAAAUUCCUUUUCUCAAUGGCUCAGAUGACAAACUCAAUACAUUUCCCUGUCAGAUUUCCCAAGGCAUUUUGUUUCUUUUAAUUACAUUUCCCUCUAAAAAGCAGAGAUAUUCUGCUCAGUUUUCCAGAGCUACUUUUAAGUCUGGGCCCACACCCCCCUGGCAAAGUGCUUCAGUGCCCCCCUUCCAAAAAGACACAGCACCUGUGGCUGCUUCUUCCAGCUCAAAGUCCUUCCUUUCAGCAUUGAUGACCCUACCCACCUCCAGGCCUGCCUUGAUCCAUUCCACCUGUCUCAGUUCUUCCCCAGCGGUGAACACAUGAGACUGGCUGAGCUGCCUGCUUGCAUUUUAACCUUUCUGGCGUGAUUCAAGCAUCUUAUUGGGACAGGAAGUUUCAGCAGCUUUAAAAGCACGCAUUCUUAAGCGAGGCCCAGUCGCCAGCCACUCAGAAGAUUCACCAGGGCGGCUCCAUGCUGCCACCCCCUGGCAAUGGCUGCCUUGAGCAGCGGGCCUGGUCAGCUGCUGCCUGCUGAGCUCCCGUGACUGACAGGAGCCUGCUGGAGCCCCAGCCGAGAAGAAAGCUGAUGGGGCCUGUGCCCUUAGAGCAAGAGCCAAAAUGGUGAGGCGACAGGCACAGCCACUGUCCCAGCUGAUGUCUCUGUGCCUUGGUUUCCUCUGCCUGAUUGUCUGUGGUGACAGCACCAGGCAGUGACACUGACUCUCCAAAGGGCCAGUGCAGGGAGGCUGCAGGCAGAGCUGGGUCUCCAUAACCACCAAGUGAUAGCCACCGGCCUGGCCAGGGGUUCUCCUGCAGCCCUGGGACUCCUUGGCCCUUGAUGGAUCUCCGGUGGACAGCCUGGCUACCUUCCCUCAGUGAGUGCAGUAAGAGCACAGCCGGAGAAAAGGGACAUGGCCUUCUGCAAUGCUGCUGAACCUCAGAGCAAGCCCAGCCCCGUCUUCAUCCUCACCCAGACAGGGAUUCAAAGAGAUGUAACUGCAAAUUUGUGCUUCUGAUUUUUAACAUUGCAGCUGAGAAAGGAGCUGUGCUGCAGCAAGUGUCUCUGGGAUAAGAAUAGCAUCUGCUGUCUUAGGACACAACACAGUUGUCCAGCUCCUACAUGGCAGCACGUUGCACUGAGAUAUAGAAGGCAACCUACCCCCCGAGGAAUGUCUUGGAGUGCUAUUAGGGGAAGCACGUAAUCUGCACAAACAGGCUUGACCCCGCGCAGGAGUCUUGCAAGAGCAGGGCUAUUUUGAGCUUUUGGCAGUGAGGAUGAAGGGAGACAACUGAUGGGCUGCUCCUCCUGACAGGCACAGCCUCCAAAGCUCUCUGUGGCCUUUUCUUCUCCUCUGGGAGUGACUCUGGUGAAGGCUGAUGGGCAAUCUGGUGGGACCUCAGAGCCCAGAAGGCAGGGCCAGGAGGGAGCUGUGAAUUUUCCAGGGACGUUAGUCCAAGUCUCAGUCCCAUCAGCACAGCCCAGCCGUGUCCUGCCUGAGGGUGUGCACCUGUCCCUGAGCUUAGGGUGCAUGGCUGCUGCUUUAUUUUCAGUGCCAUCCUAGAGAGCCAGAGAGAUACCAGUGAGUGUGUGACUCUGCAAGUGAAACACACAGGAGGCUGGAGGAAGAAACAGUUGACUUUGCAACACAGAGUCUGAAGAAGGCUGGUGUAAGUCAGAACAGACACAUUUAUAGAUACGGUGCAAGAGCUGCUGCUUCAGUGACCUGCCUGUCCUUUCUCACCAAUGCCCUUUGUGACAGAUCUUUUGUACAAGUCAUCACAGGAACUUACCAGUGUGGCCAGGAGCCAUCAGCCUGCUCACUCCUCUUCGUGCCUGCCUUCUUCUCUCUUCCCUGUGCCUGGCUUUGCUGGCUGCAGUUCCUUCAUGCUGAUGACACAUCCUCAAGCUUCCAUGGUGCAAGCAAUGUGAGACAAAGGGCAGUGCAGCGUCUGAAAAGCAGGAUAUCAGAGUCUGAAGUUUAUGCUUGUCCAAGCAAUCACAGCUGACAGUGAUACUCAUGGAAGCUGUGUGCCAUCCAGAGUCUGCCCAGUGCCACCUCAAGCUUUGGGGAAGCCUGCAGGUGUAGCCAGAGAUUCUUGAGCCACUCAAGAGGAGCAGGCAGCUCCUCAGUGAAUUUAGCGGGGCAAGGCUCACCACAAGGGACCCUGGCUGUGGUGGCAGAUGAAUGCAUGCUGUCAGGCAAGGAGAAACUGCAGGGGAUGAGGAGGGAUGAACAAGGUUGGGAGUCUGCUAGGGAACCACAGGAAAAGUUGUGCAGUGUCGGGAGAAGGGAGCACCAGGCUGGCAUCUCUGCAACAUGUUGGGUGGCUUUCUUAAUGUCCUUGUGGUUGAAAACUGAGGUCUGCUUUUAAAGAACCAUCUCCCGUUGCUUUCUUCAUUGUGCACUGACAGAGGUUCUGCUCGCCAGCACUCGUUAGCAGAACUGGAGCCAGGCUGGUCUUCCUUCUGAGAGCUGGUGUCCUCUUGAGGUUGCACCUGGGAGCCAGGUAAGCUUGUCCACCAGAUCCUGGAGCCUAAGAAUAUUCUUCCGGUCUUCCUCGGACUAAAGCAGUUGGGAAACAGGAAAGACAGUAAAUUGGUUUCACGACCACAAGUGUUGGGAUUCCACUGGCCAAUGAAGUGCAAAAAUUUUUACUUCCUGUGAGAGGGUAUGCCAGCCCACAGAGGCCUCCUGCCUUACCUGAUUCUGCGCUCUUCAGCAAGGGCUUGAUCUUGAAGAACAACUUCAUCCAGGGCCAGUGCUUCACAUUCAUGAAUGCACGGAUGUUGUACUGGAUGCAGAAGAUGGACUCCCUGAAAGGAAGCCCCUGCACCUGGCCUGUGUGCGGGUGAUGAGCUGUGCCAGCUUCUCAUCCCUCAUCUCUUCCAAGAGGCCUAUCAGCCCAGCUUUGAAGAACACCUUAGAAUUCUCCUGGAGAAACUGGCAGCUCAUGGCCUGGAUGGGCAUACUCUUCACUGGGUAAAGAACUGGCUGGAUGGCCAGACACAAAGAGUUGUGGUGAAAGGAGUCAAAUCCAGUUGGAGGGAAAGCAACCUUGAGUACAGAAGAAUGAUAUAGAAUUUACACAGGACAACUCAGAAAACUGCAGAUGAUCACAUCCUACGAGGAAGACUGGGCUGGACUUCACUGGGACCAGAAGCAAACCGCAGCACAGUUAGAAGAGGUGGACUAAAAGCCAUCUCUGGACACAGACUGUUCUGCACAGCAACGUGGUGUUGGCAAGGUGCACAUUCCCUGUGAAGGAGGAAGGAUUCAGUCAUGCUGAAAAUAGACCCUUCUUGAGACAGAGAUCAGGCAGCUGCCUCCCUUUCUGCCAGCCCUUAAGAUGUGUAUUUUCUUCUCCUGAUCCCUGUGGUUAGCUGAGAGAAAACUAUUGAGAAGCUCAGCUUCUAACUCUCGGAUCUGAUGAAUCAAUCAACAAUUGGCAUGAUCCCUCACUCAGGACUCAGAGAAGAAAGGUCUCUUAGGCACUCGUGUUCAGUGCUGGUACUCACCCUGGCCUCCAGCUUCUGGAUUUGCU